GAGACUAUACUCUCAGUGACCGGUUCCCGAGUUCAUUACUAGAGAAGUUUCUCUGAAUGUGUAGAGCACUGGGAACCAUGAGGAGGAGGUGAGUGUUCUCUCCUGAGCGUGAGGUGGCUUUAGGUAUUGCUUCAUGGCAAUUCCGCAACUGCCAUAUGCCAUUGAAGAUGGUUCUCUUCCUCUGGAAGGGGAAGAAGAAGAGGACAUAGUCUGAGUGGU
rnacentral:snoRNA from 1 species